GCACGGACGGAACGUCUGAACCCCACCGCCGCACCGCGCGCGUCCAUCCCCCAAUGCCCCCAGCAGCGGCAGUUCGUCGGGCUCCCUCGCCGGACGCGGCGGGCGGAGCGAGGCUAGCCGCGGAGCAAGCCUCUGGCCCGUGAGAAACAUGUCUCCACAGGAGACACGGCAACGCGCCCUUGUAGAUUGCAACGGCGGAGAGGAGGUUAUUGUGCUGUUCCAUUUGGCUGAAUACGGAAGUUAAUGGUGGUUGAGUGCAAGAAAAGAAAUUUAACUAACACUGUAAAGAUCGAGGAAUAUAGAAACAGAGCUAAUUGACACUAGUGAUGAAAACAGUCUCAUGACUUGUGAAAGGUAGCUUCUACCUCCCUCAUCUAUUAUAUGGUUUUCUAGGAGACUGCUAACAGACGGCAAGUUUCAAAGAUCAUGUUCACAUUGCCUUAUCCCAUCUUAAUCAGUGCUGUCCUUGUAGAAUUACGUGAGGAAUGUGGACAUUGAGCUAUAUUAUAGUUGGAAGCUUCAUGUUUAAUCCUUUUACUUAAUCCAACAUGAUGCUAUCUUGUAGAAGGAAAUUCUGAUUUGUGGAUGUCAAAUGAUCGCAAGAAUUUCUUGUGGCUAGCGCCAUUGUAUGUCCCAGGUUCAGGGUGCUUUUGUGUUUUGUGCGACAGUUUUGGGUUCUAGUUGGUGUUUCUUGGUGUCUAAACAUGGGGCUGUUGUAACAUUUAAACUUUAUUCCUUAUUGAAUAAAUAGGCAGAGCUCGUGACCUCCUGCCAUCUGUUUCAAAAAGAAAAAAAGAAGCGCAGGCCUGGUGCAAUGGCGAGAGCUAUCUCACUGAAUCACUAUUCACUAGGUUUCUUCAAAGUAAUCUCUCCGCAUUUGUGGGGGAAGGCUUGCCUCGGCUUAUAUCUUUCCUGGACCCCACUCAUGUGGGAGCCUCCAGCAGUGAGUCUGCCUGCCUUGCCUUAAAUCUGGGACAGAUAGAGUUGUAGGUUGCAAUUUCUUUUUUAGUAUAUAUCACUAGAUUGUAGUUUGAAUGGUGUUCUUUCACAAUGCCGAUUUCAUAGUACAUUGAGCUAUUCUAGUUACCCAAAUAGUUGUAUUUUGUUCAAAGAUGAGCAAAAAAGGUGCUCAUAUGUAGCUUCUCAGCAUAGGAUUCUGCAGUUUGACAUUUUGAACACUGACUACAAAUUUUUAUGCAAUGAAAUUUUUUAUGUCUCAAUGAAUUCAGCAGUUAUGAUCCAAACCUUUUGGGUAUCUGCUUAAAGCAUCUGUGGCAAGCCAGCAAGCAGCAGUGGUGCAGAAUUUACUGAACCAAUUAGAGAUAUAACAUUAUUUUGGACAAAAUGUUAUGAAGUUUAAUUUGUGUUACUGGAAUGACAAAAGUAAAUUGCGCACAUUGAAUGAGUUGAAACCUUGUUACAAUAAAUGGUUGAAUUUUCAGAAUAUUUUCGUUUGAGUUGCUUCAUCUAUUCUGGAUGUGUUUGUUUUGUCACUAGGAAAAGCAUUGGUAUAAUACUCUAGCAAAAACAAGGAAGAUUCAGUUAGGCUGCAUAUUGUGAUAUCGAUAUUAACUUUAUGUUGUACAUAGUAUUAGUUAUUUAGUUCUAAUCUAUUGCUUGCCUUAAACACUAGUGACAGCUGUCAGUUCUUUUUAAAGCUUCCAUUUGAUGGCCUAAUAAUUGAUCAGCCAACUAAAUGACUUUCUAUCGACAGCUUGAUGGUCACUGCUUGCUGACUGGUGAGCAGCAAUAGGGCUUGUCUAGAAAGUGAGGUACAGACAUAAGGCAACCUUGCAUUCCUGAUCAGGUAAUAUAUCAGUCUUUUGCUUCCACUAGUGCAGAGGCGGAUCCAUAGGGGGGGCAAAGUAGGCCAUGGCCCCCCCUCAAUUUUGUACACCCUUUUAUGUAUAUGAUUAUUUAGUAUUAAGUGUAGAAAAAAAAUCAAAGUUUUAGAUAGUAUAGAGUCUUGUUCUAAAUCUCUAAAACUAAUAGCUAGUUGCUAAAAUUAGUCGAGAGGUUUAGAAUGGAUCAACUAAUUGUUAGUUAUAUUCCUCAAAUAAAUAUUAGUUGUUAGAUGCCACAACCCAGCUAAAACCAGUUAAUAGUUAGUUAUAAAGGUUUAGAACAUGACAUAAAACAACCAUGUUAUGAGCCUGCUCGUCUGAUCCUCUCGGUCUAGUCCUUGCAUCUACCUGUCUAACUCUAAUCUUUUCGACACCACCUAAACCAGUCUGCUCGUUGUCCUGUUUUCGCCGCCGACCCAUUCCCGAUGCGACGCCACCCGACUUCGCCCCUUCCUGCCGCCUUCGUCCCUUGUUUUGUUUUUACAUGACGUCAAUCCGCUCGACAAGCUAGAUCUCGCUCGUCGCAACGAUAUGACUUGUCCCAUGCGGUUGACGGACAUGGCGAACUAGAAAAUCAUGUCUCUCAUGUGGUCUUUUUGGCCCCCCCUGAAUUUUCGUCCUGCGUCCGCCACUGCACUAGUGGAAUUAGUUUGUAUCAUGUACGAUUGAUUUAUGCUAAUGUCAAAAGCUCCCGAUAACAAUUUAAUGUCAAUGUUUUUUUAACUAAAUGUAAUUUUUUUUUUACAAUGAGUUCGUAAAAUUAAGAUGAAUAGGGUCCUUGCUCGCGGGCAGAACUUAUUCAUAUCUGUUUCGUGUAGCCACAUCUUAAACGAAGGAAAUUCUGAUAUUAAUUAAACUCCAAAAGAACAAGUCAAUGUGCUUGGAUUUCGGAAUCAUCUUGCCAGCUUAUGACAAUAGAAUAGUUGCAAUUCGAUAAUUCACCAAUAUCUUGGAUUGAUGCCAGCUUGAAUAGUUACACUAUGGUACCUUUGCUGGACACAUUUUUCAGUGGUUUUAUAAUUUAAACUAUUCAAUCUCAUGCCUUGAUUUUAUUUUUUUUUGCUGGAAAAGAUGAAAUAUCAUUGCAAUUUUGCCUGUAGGAGCAGUUUGUAUUUAAUGCCUGUCAUGGUGCAAGCACAUUUUCUAAUUUAUGUGGUUAUUUUUAAGGAACAUGUGUUAAUUUAAAAUAUUUUUGAAGUAAAACAAUGUGAACUGUCAACCAAGGGAUUAAAUGUAGCUACUCAGAUAGUCAGAAAAAACACACAGAAGCCUAAGACCUAGCCUUGUGGUGGAGGCACAACAAAUAACUAUCUGUUUCUGGAAGUUUUAACAAACCUGUAAAAAUAUCAGAAAAAAUGAAUAUUCAGAUUGUUGACACUUCAAAAUUGUAAGUGAUUUUCACUGUUUCAUUAUCAUUUUCUUACCUGUUCAAAUUGGACCAAAAUUUUACAUAUGUAAAAAAGAAAUGAGAUUAUCUUCUGGAUUUAAACAUAUGAAGGUGUUCCCCAUCCAUCUGGACGCACAUCAGUGGAAAGUAUGGUUAGUUUCUUCUGCACUUUAAACUUACGUACUUUGUGCCAGUAGACACACUAUACCUGCGAAUGGUUCAAAGGCAAUCCAACCAUUUUUUCUCAAGGUAACCAUGUGCACAGAAAAGUGUAAUGACUCAUCUAUUCUUGAAUCGACAAGUAUUUUUGGGAAGUUGCCCCCUGAUCUGCAGCAAUAAGAUUUAGAUAAGUUAUAAUAUUUAGUGAAAGAUCUUUCUGCAAAAUAAAAAAAGUUUACUUGUGAAGUACUUCAUAAUAUGAAAUUGUGCAGUGUCAUGUUUUUGUUCACAUGAUUAUUAAACUGGAUGCUAAAGACAUCGCUUGAGUAAACCGCAGAGUAGGAACGGGCCUUAGUUGUUCUCUUUGAAGUUGAAUAGAUCAAUACUGCGCCCAUUGAUACGUGAGGGAGAUUGACCCGUAACUACUCUUGGUGACUGAUUGAUGGAAACACGUCAAUUUGGGUUGCUGAUAAACCUGUAAUGUCAUUCAACGUCAGUGUCCAAACAACGACUAAAUCAAUUAAUCUAUUCACAUCAAAGUUGUUUGUAAGAAACUUAGGCACACAAUCGCUUGUUGUUGACAUCCUUACUCCGUGGCCAAGAUUUGUUAGCUAAGCAUUCAUAUAUUAUUCAUAGCAGAACUAACUGGCCUAUAAAAUUACACAUUUCACAUUGGCCAUCCACUUGGAAAAUUGCAGUAUGAGUAGCUAGAAGCUAUAUUUCUUCUAGAUGAAUUCACUCCACACUAGUACAGACCUUCCAUGAGACCAUGAUUAAGAAAGAUGGGUGAGAAGUUUGUUUUCUCCUCGUCACUACAAAGGAAUGCAUGUUUCUUUUAUGUAAUACUGUUACUUUUAUGCUAUCUUGUUUGAUCCACAUGCCAUGAUUUUGUUCCCACUGCACUUUUCUUGGUUAAGCUGCACUUGCAACAAAAACAACAUUUCACAGUCAACAAGUAGCAUUGUUAGUUACUAUAAAUGUUAAUAUCAGUUACUAGUGAAAUAUAUGCCCUAAGUAAUACUUGUAGGUAUAAUGCAGCUCAGCGCUGUUGGGAGGGGGGAGAGGUCAAUCAUUUCUCUUGUUCAAUGGUACACUCACUGUUGUGUAGCGAUUGAAGCAUUCUGGAACUGUGGACGCUAGUGUCUUAGACAGUUGACGUGGAAACUAGGUGAGGCGAAAUUGUCGCUUCAGAAUAUCAUAUAAUUGAAUCUUCUGCUCUGGGUGUAGUAUCUAGGUGUUCUAUUUAUAAACCCCUUCAAACAGGAAGAAAGAAGAAACUGAAAGAUUAUAGUUUAUAUAAUUUUUAUCUUCCUGAAUUAGAAUUGUACCUAUAAACUGAAAGAUGUUUCUUCAUCACCUUCUGUUAAGAAAUUUUCAGUUCUCACAAUCGGUACAAUUGGCUAAAAUUUUAUAAUAGAAGCACAGCUGCCUUUGUAAAUAUCCAAAUUGUUUGUCCGGCCUAGGAUCUAAUUGGUGGUGGUGUUAUAUUUUUUGUUUGGCCCUGGUCUGGUUUCUUUGGACUUCACCUCCCUGAUCUGCAAAUAUCGAUUUAUACUGUGGCCUUUGCAUGCAUACAACAUGCAUACUAUGCACAGUUUCUUCAUAAUGUGUUUAUCGAUUACAGCCUCUUUCUGACUUGAUGGACCUUCUGUGCGGUCUAGACAAUUGUAGUUCACCGCUACGGUUAUCUGGGGAAGUUAGAUGAACCAACACCUCAAGUUUUGCUUUGCAAAGCAUCCUCUUGAAUCUCUCGAUUGCUGGGGAAAUAUUGUUCUGACUUUUUUUUUCUAGGCAAACUUAUGUGAUGAGAGGUUGGUUUUGCUGAAGAAUUAUACUUUUAAUGAAUUCGGAUGACUCAAAUCCAUAUUUCUCUUCUGACAGGUAUCACUCGAGUGUGUAGGUUUUUCCGGGAUGCAGACAGAUCAUGAGAGAUUAGACUGUCUUCGAAGCCAAUGCUGCUGGGAGUUUCUAGUUUAUCAACAGAUUUCCUCUUAGUUGUUGAUCGCAGCAAGAAACGGCUGUCCUUGCUAGCUUGUCAUUUCGCUUUUAGGUGUUCGUAGGUAAGAAAAACAUGCGACAGAACCAGGCAUCGUUGACACUUGUUAGACAGCAACGAUGAUGACAUCGCCAUUUUCUAGAGAACGACGUCAAUGCGGACAAGAAAGCCAAUUGUUUUUUGUUCAAUAGUUUUUUCAUCUCGUAUUCUUGGACAAAGGUUAACCUGUAUUUGUGCUUCUGUCUUUCAGGCAGGAAAAACAUGUAUCUGACUCUAUCCGAUGUUUCUCACGGGCACCAUGGGAAUGGGAAUUGCUGUUGCCCUCGUU
rnacentral:lncRNA from 7 species